rnacentral:tRNA from 1 species
GGUGUCUCAAUGGUAGAGCGCUUGCCUUGCAUGCAUGAAGCCCUGGGUUCGAUUCCCCAGCACCA